GAAGUUUAACGCGACUGUAAGUAAAGGGAAGCAGCGGGCGCCUUCACCGGCGCGGCCCUCGGCGAUCGCUUUGUUUGUAUGUGUCGCGCGCACGGUUCAACUUUUGAAUACCGUGGCUGCGCGUUGUCGCAGUGCAGUGAUGAUUAUAUGCCAGUGCUCAUCGUGAAACUGCACAAACCGCGUCACUGCUGAUGGAGCUGCCACGUACGUGGAUGGCGGCGCCCGAGAAGACCUUUUCUGAAGAGAAUGCGUGCCUGGCGAUUGUCACUUGCAGUCGCAACUUUUACAAAGUGGCAGCUGGCCUCCAUGGGGCGGUGCAGACAGGGGACUGUCAUUGCUGGAGCACCUCGUGGCUAUCCACAGGAAAUGGAAAAACAUGGACCAAUGGACACAACAGUUCCACUGGCAGCCUUCUAAACUUGCCUCCCGGUGCCAGGGAAUGAUCACAAAUACUGAAAGUCUGUGAUUCUUUGUAUGUAGAAGGCAGCUGCUGACAUGUUCUCAUGAAGCCCAUGCCGCCACAUGAAGCACAUCAUCCAGUUGCUGCUUGCGUUGAAGUUUGUAGUUGGAAUGCCCUGCUUCCUUGUAAGUCGGCGAGCGUCCUUCUGUAUCAUUUAAAUUUACACAGCACACUCAUGAAGCCCAUGCCGCCACAUGAAGCACAUCAUCCAGUCGCUGCUUGCAUUGAAGUUUGUAGUUGGAAUGCCCUGCUUCCUUGUAAGUCGGCGAGCCUCCUUCUGUAUCAUUUAAAUUUACACAGAACAGCUGUCCAGAGGCUUCUGAGCUAUAAAGCACUGCUACUUCAACUUGCGAGUAAAAAUCAGUCUUGGGUCAGCGGAAAUUCCUGCUUGCCUUGCUGGUAGCAUUCAGCUUUUCAUGCGGCCAUCUCUAAUGGCAGAUGUGUACUUUGCUGACGCCGAAGUACCUUCUGAAUUAACGACUGCCAUUCUACAAAGCAUGUUG